GACGAACGCUGGCGGCGUGCUUAACACAUGCAAGUCGAACGGAAAGGCCCUGCUCUUGUGGGGUGCUCGUGUGGCGAACGGGUGAGUAUCACGUGAGUAACCUCUCCUUGACUGUGGGAUAACUCCAGGAAACUGGGGCUCUUACCGCAUAUGAGCUCUUGCUGCACGGUGUGGGUUGGAAAGUUUCGGCGGUUCGGGAUGGACUCGCGGGUUAUCAGCUUGUUGGCGGGGUAGUGGCUUACCAAGGCUUCGACGGGUAGCCGGCCUGGGAGGGUGACCGGCCACAUAGGGACUGAGGUACGGCCCAGAGUGCUACGGGAGGCAGCGGUGGAGAAUAUUGCGCAAUGGGCGGAAGCCUGAUGCAGCAACGCCGCGUGCGGAAUGACGGCUUUCGGGUUGUAAACCGCUUUCGCCUGUAACGAAGCGUGAGUGACGGUAAUGGGUAAGAAAGCACCGGCUAACUACGUG
rnacentral:rRNA from 1 species